rnacentral:rRNA from 1 species
AGUGGCGCAAGGGUGAGUACACGUGAGUAACCUGCCCCCGACGUUCGGGAUACCGCGGGAAACUGGGAUUAAUACCGGAUGCGGCGGCCUCCGGCGGGAGGGCUGCCAAAGAUUGAGUUCGGUCGGGGAUGGGCUCGCGGCCCAUUAGCUUGUUGGCGGGGUAACGGCCCACCAAGGCUACGACGGGUAGGUGGUCUGAGAGGAUGGUCACCACACUGGGACUGAGACACUGUCCAGACUCCUACGGGAGGCUGCAGUCGAGAAUCUUCCGCAAUGGGCGCAAGCCUGACGGAGCGAUGCCGCGUGAGGGAUGAAGGCCUUCGGGUUGUAAACCUCUGUCACCCGGGACGAAGAAGUGACGGUACCGGGAGAGGAAGCCACGGCUAACUACGUGCCAGCAGCCGCGGUACUACGUAGGUGGCGAGCGUUAUUCGGAUUUACUGGGCGUAGAGGGUCCGUAGGGGGUCCGUCAAGUCUGAUGUGAAAUUCCGGGGCUCAACCCCGGACGUGCAUUGGAUACUGCCGGACUUGAGUGCGCGAGAGGAAAGCGGAAUUCCAGGUGUAGCGGUGGAAUGCGUAGAUAUCUGGAAGAACACCCGCGGCGAAGGCGGCUUUCUGGCGCGUCACUGACCCUGAGGGACGAAAGCGUGGGUAGCGAACAGGAUUAGAUACCCUGGUAGUCCACGCCGUAAACGUUGUGCACUAGAUGUGGGGGGUCCUUUGGUCCCUUCCGUGUCCAAGCUAACGCGAUUAAGUGCACCGCCUGGGGACUACGCCCGCAAGGCUCAAACUCAAAGGAAUUGACGGGGGCCCGCACAAGCGGUGGAGCAUGUGGCUUAAUUCGAGGCAACGCGAAGAACCUUACCUGGGUUUGACAUAUACCGGACCGACCGUGAAAGCGGUUUUCUCUUCGGAGUCGGUAUACAGGUGCUGCAUGGCUGUCGUCAGCUCGUGCCGUGAGAUGUUCGGUUAAGUCCGGCAACGAGCGCUACCCGUAUCAUCAGUUACCAGCGCGUCAUGGCGGGGACUCUGGUGAGACUGCCCGUGUCAAGCGGGAGGAAGGCGCGGAUGACGUCAAGUCCGUAUGGCCCUUACAUCCAGGGCUGCACACGUGCUACAAUGGUCGGUACAAUGGGCGGCAAGACCGCGAGGUGGAGCCAAUCCCCAAAACCGGCCCCAGUUCGGAUCGGAGUCUGCAACUCGACUCCGUGAAGUCGGAAUCGCUAGUAAAGGCGUAUCAGCAACGACGCCGUGAAUACGUUCCCGGGCCUUGUACACACCGCCCGUCACAUCAUGGAAGCUGGCUGCACCCAAAGUCGUCGGCUCAGCCUUCGGGAGAGAACGCCUAAGGUGUGUCCAUAACUGGGAUGAAGU